rnacentral:rRNA from 1 species
UACGUAGGUGGCAAGCGUUGUCCGGAAUUAUUGGGCGUAAAGCGCGCGCAGGCGGCCUUUUAAGUCUGAUGUGAAAGCCCACGGCUCAACCGUGGAAGGUCAUUGGAAACUGAAAGGCUUGAGUACAGAAGAGGAAAGCGGAAUUCCACGUGUAGCGGUGAAAUGCGUAGAGAUGUGGAGGAACACCAGUGGCGAAGGCGGCAUCCUGGACUGGUCCUGACACUCGAGGAGCGAAAGCGUGGGGAGCGAACAG